ACCUAGUGAUGUGGUCAUUUAUAGAGUAGAUCCCUAAAAUGUUCCCAAGUCUCGAAAAAGAAUUCUCCAUCCAUCUGUGAAAAACUCAUGAUCACCCUCCAGAGCU